UGCCACUGCUGCCAGGUCACCCCAGCUGGCAAUCCGGGCUCAGGGACCUCGGGGAGGGCUGGCGCCUGCGCUCAGGAAGGCGGUGAGCUCACGGGUUUAAUUUUCUCAAGGCUUCGCUCGCUCUGACAUGUGAUCCUCGCUACAGGAAGGACGCGGCGAAUGCGUCGUCCCCCGGGGCUGCCUGCCUCGACCUUGUGGGAAGAGGCUCCUUUCCGUGGGCUCGGUUCCCUGUGCUCACCUCUGUGAGCUCUCCAGCACCUCCAGGACGGAGGUUCCCGGGCCUGGCUUGCUCGACACGGAUCUCCAGGCUCGGUUCUGCAGGACACCUUGCCAGAGGUGUCUCCCAGGCCCCGCGCAUCCCCGGUGGCUCCCAGCUGCUUCCCGGGGCUCUCCCCAUCAGCCCGGUGCCAGCAGAGGGCCUCCCUUACCAGCACAGCACCGUCUGGAAAUUAUAAAACACAUUAUCUAUUUGGCAAAACUUUGUGCAAGGAUCAGGAAAAGGGCUGGAAUCCGUUCUCCUCCAGGAGACCGGAGACAGCGUGUCCCCCCCGGCUUCUGUUUUCAAUGCCAGCACUCAGCCGCGUUAAAGCCGUGGGAGCGUUCGUCAUUAAAAUGGCAAUUGUGGAGCCAGGCAAUAAAUUUAACAUCAUAAAAGGC